rnacentral:tRNA from 1 species
UGGGGCUAUAGCUCAGUGGUAAAGCGCUUGCCUAGCAUGCAGGAAGCACUGGGUUCGAUUCUCAGCACCACAA